GGAAGCGCUUUUGGGGUCGCGGUCCGGACUUUGGGCGGGGGGUCCGGCCCCAGGACAGUUUUACCGCAUUCCGUCCACUUCCGAUUCCUUCAUGGAUCCGGCGUCUGCACUUUACAGAGGUCCAAUCACGCGGACCCAGAACCCCAUGGUGACCGGGACCUCAGUCCUCGGCGUUAAGUUCGAGGGCGGAGUGGUAAUUGCCGCAGACAUGCUGGGAUCCUACGGCUCCUUGGCUCGUUUCCGCAACAUCUCUCGCAUUAUGCGAGUCAACAACAGUACCAUGCUGGGUGCCUCUGGGGACUACGCUGAUUUCCAGUAUUUGAAGCAAGUUCUCGGCCAGAUGGAUUGAUGAGGAGCUUCUGGGAGAUGGACACAGCUAUAGUCCUAGAGCUAUUCAUUCAUGGCUGACCAGGGCCAUGUACAGCCGGCGCUCGAAGAUGAACCCUUUGUGGAACACCAUGGUCAUCGGAGGCUAUGCUGAUGGAGAGAGGUUCAUAUGAAUGCAAAUAACUUAUUUCCUUUACCACCCAACCUAGUACCUGUGUAGUAUCUCUUCUGUCUCUUCUCCCCAAGUGAAUCCCACUUUAACUCAGACCCCAUGGUCCCCUUCUUCAGCUAAGAUGAACCUAAGGUGAAAUGAGUUUUGACCCAUUGUGUCCUGUUAGCUUCCUCGGUUAUGUGGACAUGCUUGGUGUAGCCUAUGAAGCCCCUUCGCUGGCCACUGGUUAUGGUGCAUACUUGGCUCAGGUAAGUAGUAUGUCUAGAGGUGGGGGAAAGGGAAGACAAAAGGAGAUGGAUUAGUAUUUGUCUGCUUUUCUCCUGAAAUUCUGAUAUGUGGGAUGGGCUGGGAUCGCUAUUACUGGGCAGAUGGUUUUCUUUGUAGUCUGGGGGCUGUAGGUGUUGACACUGAUUCUAGUGACAAGAUGACAUGUCUGGGAGUCAGUAGACAUGCAAAGAAAGGACACCCUAGAACUUCUUGAAGUGGCUCUUUAGCUUAUUUUGUAAGCAGAGUUCAUUCUGGUGAGGCAAGAGGUAGAAUGUCAUCUUUUCACUCUUUAAUGCUUUUUAUACCAUAGAUUUGAGACAACUAGCCUGUUAUUCAGCCCAAUAUCUCCCAUGGUUUCCCCCCAAUCUCCCUAGCCUCUGCUGCGAGAAGUUCUGGAGAAGCAGCCAGUGCUGAGCCAGACCGAGGCCCGCGACCUAGUAGAACGCUGCAUGCGAGUGCUGUACUACCGAGAUGCCCGUUCUUACAACCGGUUUCAAAUUGCCACUGUAACCGAAAAAGGUGUUGAAAUAGAGGGACCAUUGUCUGCAGAGACCAACUGGGAUAUUGCCCACAUGAUCAGGUGAGUAAUACGGAAAAAAUUGAUGACAGAUUUGGGAGGUCUUUGGCUUACACUAAGCUGGGCUUUUCUGGGAGGCUCACCCAGGAAAAUUCUCUGGGUGGAGAGUUUUGGUUGGACGGUACAGCUAUUUUUAGGAAUUGAUCCCUUUACGCUUCACAAUUUUAUUAUUCUGUCUUUUUUAGUGGCUUUGAAUGAAAUACAGAUGCAUUAUCCAGAACUGAAGUUGCCCUACUUUUAACUUUGAACUUGGCUGGUUCAAAGAUAGACUCUUCUUUUGUAAAGUAAAUAAAUUCUUCAAAA
rnacentral:sRNA from 1 species